rnacentral:rRNA from 1 species
GACGAACGCUGGCGGCGCGCCUAACACAUGCAAGUCGAACGAGCGAGAGAGAGCUUGCUUUCUCGAGCGAGUGGCGAACGGGUGAGUAACGCGUGAGGAACCUGCCUCAAAGAGGGGGACAACAGUUGGAAACGACUGCUAAUACCGCAUAAGCCCACAGGUCGGCAUCGACCAGAGGGAAAAGGAGCAAUCCGCUUUGAGAUGGCCUCGCGUCCGAUUAGCUAGUUGGUGAGGUAACGGCCCACCAAGGCAACGAUCGGUAGCCGGACUGAGAGGUUGAACGGCCACAUUGGGACUGAGACACGGCCCAGACUCCUACGGGAGGCAGCAGUGGGGAAUAUUGCACAAUGGGGGAAACCCUGAUGCAGCGACGCCGCGUGGAGGAAGAAGGUCUUCGGAUUGUAAACUCCUGUUGUUGAGGAAGAUAAUGACGGUACUCAACAAGGAAGUGACGGCUAACUACGUGCCAGCAGCCGCGGUAAAACGUAGGUCACAAGCGUUGUCCGGAAUUACUGGGUGUAAAGGGAGCGCAGGCGGGAAGACAAGUUGGAAGUGAAAUCUAUGGGCUCAACCCAUAAACUGCUUUCAAAACUGUUUUUCUUGAGUAGUGCAGAGGUAGGCGGAAUUCCCGGUGUAGCGGUGGAAUGCGUAGAUAUCGGGAGGAACACCAGUGGCGAAGGCGGCCUACUGGGCACCAACUGACGCUGAGGCUCGAAAGUGUGGGUAGCAAACAGGAUUAGAUACCCUGGUAGUCCACACCGUAAACGAUGAUUACUAGGGGUUGGAGGAUUGACCCCUUCAGUGCCGCAGUUAACACAAUAAGUUAAUCCACCUGGGGAGUACGACCGCAAGGUUGAAACUCAAAGGAAUUGACGGGGGCCCGCACAAGCAGUGGAGUAUGUGGUUUAAUUCGACGCAACGCGAAGAACCUUACCAAGUCUUGACAUCCCUUGACGAACAUAGAAAUAUGUUUUCUCUUCGGAGCAAGGAGACAGGUGGUGCAUGGUUGUCGUCAGCUCGUGUCGUGAGAUGUUGGGUUAGGUCCCGCAACGAGCGCAACCCUUACUGUCAGUUACUACGCAAGAGGACUCUGGCAGGACUGCCGUUGACAAAACGGAGGAAGGUGGGGAUGACGUCAAAUCAUCAUGCCCUUUAUGACUUGGGCUACACACGUACUACAAUGGCGUUAAACAAAGAGAGGCAAGACCGCGAGGUGGAGCAAAACUCAGAAACAACGUCCCAGUUCGGACUGCAGGCUGCAACUCGCCUGCACGAAGUCGGAAUUGCUAGUAAUCGUGGAUCAGCAUGCCACGGUGAAUACGUUCCCGGGCCUUGUAC